rnacentral:rRNA from 1 species
AGAGCGAACGCUGGCGGCAGGCCUAACACAUGCAAGUCGAGCGCCCGUAGCAAUACUGGAGCGGCAGACGGGAUAGUAACACGUGGGAACGCGCCCUUCGGUUCGGAACAACUCAGGGAAACUUGAGCUAAUACCGGAUGUGCCCUUCGGGGGAAAGAUUUAUCGCCAUUGGAGCGGCCCGCGUCUGAUUAGCUAGUUGGUGAGGUAAAGGCUCACCAAGGCUACGAUCAGUAGCUGGUCUGAGAGGAUGAUCAGCCACACUGGGACUGAGACACGGCCCAGACUCCUACGGGAGGCAGCAGUAGGGAAUCUUGCGCAAUGGGCGAAAGCCUGACGCAGCAACGCCGCGUGUGGGACGAAGGCCUUCUGGGUUGUAAACCACUUUCAGCAGGGACGAUUGUGACGGUACCUGCAGAAGAACGCCCCGGCCAACUACGUCGCCAGCAGCCGC